CGCUGUUUGAUGUACAUACAGAGUUUAUAGAAUUGUAUAUAUAUUAUUUAUGACAUAUGUAUAUGUAAUAAGAACUUUCACAACAACUGUGGUUCUCUAGUUUCGGUUUUGAAAUGGCAAAUUUUCUCAUAAAAAUCACAACAAGAAUGUGUCCCCAGUACACGGAUGCCCCAUCCGCACUAUCAUUUUCUAUGUUCAGUGGACCGUGAAAAUGGGGUUAAAUCUCUAAUUUGGAAUUAAAAUUAGAAAGAUCAUAUCAUACAGAACAUAUAUACUAAGUUUCAAGUUGAUUGGACUUCAACUUCAUCAAAAACUACCUCGACCAAAACUUUAACCUGACAUGGGACAGACGGACGAACGGACGAACGGACGAACGAACGAACAGACGGACGGACGGACGCACAGACCAGAAAACAUAAUGCCCAUAAAUGGGGCAUAAAAACAAUAUAUGAUAGAUAUUUCCUGUUUAGAAAUUCCAAUAUUGAACACAUCUUUCAUAAUUGUUUUAGAUUUUAACCAUAUUUUAAGAUGUUUCAAUAACCAAUAACUGAUCUUUUUAUUUGUAGGAAAAAAAUCAAAUAAAAACUGUAAAAAUCUAUAUCCAGAAGUGCUGAGCCACAGUUAAUGUGAAAGGUUCUCUUUAGCUGACUUAUAUAACUGCUGUAGAAUUGCUAUAGAUAUAUUGCAAAAAAAAAUUAAUGUGAGGCUUUGUUUCAGUUUUAAUUAAGAGGCAUUUUAACUGAUAUUGAAAAAUAGAUUUAUGAUUAUUUGUUGUGAUUUUAAAAACAUUCAUUUUCAAGGGUCUGGAUGGGGUUUUACAAAAUAUAGAAUAAUGAGCAAAAACAUAUAGAAUAAUAUGCGAGAAACAAUGAAAAGAGAAACAUGGACAAAAAAUAUAAAAAAUAGAGAGAAAAUGGGGUGCUAAGAACAGAUAAUAGUUGGCUAAAAAAAAUAAGUGAAAAAUGGCCUAUAAAACUUAUAGCAUUCAGAAAUGAAGCCCCCCCCCCCCCUCCCCUCCCCAUCCAGAAAGACAUAUUCAUCGGUAAACAUAUAUAUAUUCAUAAUAAUAAAAAAAAAACAAGUACCGGUAUCACAAUAGCCUAGUCAUUUCAUUCAGUUAUUUUUUUUGUAUUUUUUAUACUUGUUUUAUUCUCACAAUAUUGUAGUCCUACGAGUUAUUAUAUGUGGGAUUAGAUAUGGUUUCUUCUAGACAAAAUGCACCCUUUUUUAGACAAAUCCAAUUUGUUUUUUUAUUAGCCAACAUACUGAAAUUCUGCAAAUGAAAAAAAUAUGGUAAGAGUGUACAGAAAAUCUGUACUUAAAAGAUAUGACUUAAAUACAACUUUGAAAGUAAAACAGUUCCUCCUUUAGUAAAAUAAUGUUUUAUCAUAUCUUUCACAUUACUGUUUGAAGAAUCUUAAAAUAAACUAAAACAAUACACAUGUGUCAAAAGUGGCAAGAAUUUUAUAAUGGGUUUUGCACAUAAACAUGGCUUUUACAUGUAUGAGAAUGGAAAAUUACAAGAAAACAAUAAGUAUAAAUUAUAAGUGACGAGAUGUUUUUGCAAAGAUACACACCUUUUCAAGCAUUAUAAAAAUUUCGGCAGCUGACAUCAUUUUGAAGAAAGCUUUGUGCAGCAUUCUUUGCAUUUUCUGUUGCAAUACCUAAUAGAUUUCUGUAAUCUGAAGAAGCAAUUAUUCGAU
rnacentral:lncRNA from 1 species